rnacentral:rRNA from 1 species
UACGUAGGGGGCUAGCGUUGUCCGGAAUCAUUGGGCGUAAAGAGCGUGUAGGCGGCCCGGUAAGUCCGCUGUAAAAGUCAAAGGCUCAACCUUUGAAUGUCAGUGGAUACUGCCGGGCUAGAGUCCGGAAGAGGCGAGUGGAACUCCUGGUGUAGCGGUGGAAUGCGCAGAUAUCGAGAGGAACACCUGCGGCGAAGGCGGGUUGCUGGGCCGACACUGACGCUGAUGCGCGAAAGCCAGGGGAGCGAACGGG